rnacentral:rRNA from 1 species
UACAGAGGUCCCAAGCGUUGUUCGGAUUCAUUGGGCGUAAAGGGUGCGUAGGUGGCGCCGUAAGUCGGGUGUGAAAUUUCGGAGCUUAACUCCGAAACUGCAUUCGAUACUGCGGUGCUUGAGGACUGGAGAGGAGACUGGAAUUCAUGGUGUAGCAGUGAAAUGCGUAGAUAUCAUAAGGAACACCGGUGGCGAAGGCGGAUACCUGGAAGAUUCCUGACUCUGAAACACGAAAGCCAGGGGAGCAAACGGG